rnacentral:tRNA from 1 species
GCGCUACUAGCUCAGCUGGUUAGAGCACCUGACUCUUAAUCAGGGUGUCCCCGGUUCGAACCCGGGGUGGCGUACUA